rnacentral:rRNA from 1 species
AUGCAAGUCGAACGGCAGCACAGAGGAGCUUGCUCCUUGGGUGGCGAGUGGCGGACGGGUGAGGAAUACAUCGGAAUCUACUCUGUCGUGGGGGAUAACGUAGGGAAACUUACGCUAAUACCGCAUACGACCUACGGGUGAAAGCAGGGGACCUUCGGGCCUUGCGCGAUUGAAUGAGCCGAUGUCGGAUUAGCUAGUUGGCGGGGUAAAGGCCCACCAAGGCGACGAUCCGUAGCUGGUCUGAGAGGAUGAUCAGCCACACUGGAACUGAGACACGGUCCAGACUCCUACGGGAGGCAGCAGUGGGGAAUAUUGGACAAUGGGCGCAAGCCUGAUCCAGCCAUACCGCGUGGGUGAAGAAGGCCUUCGGGUUGUAAAGCCCUUUUGUUGGGAAAGAAAUCCAGCUGGCUAAUACCCGGUUGGGAUGACGGUACCCAAAGAAUAAGCACCGGCUAACUUCGUGCCAGCAGCCGCGGUAAUACGAAGGGUGCAAGCGUUACUCGGAAUUACUGGGCGUAAAGCGUGCGUAGGUGGUCGUUUAAGUCCGUUGUGAAAGCCCUGGGCUCAACCUGGGAACUGCAGUGGAUACUGGGCGACUAGAGUGUGGUAGAGGGUAGCGGAAUUCCUGGUGUAGCAGUGAAAUGCGUAGAGAUC